rnacentral:piRNA from 1 species
UCAAGGAUGCUGUGCUGGUGACUGGAACA